AUUUGAGCCAAGGCUGGAAGCCAGGAGACAGAGACAGAGUCCCAUCUCACCACUAAUAGUUGUGUGACUUGGAGGUGGAAAGUGACACAACUGAAUGAUGAUUUUCUUGGUAACAUUUGGAAGGGCCACGAGAGCUGCUGGGAUUGGGCUUGCUGUGUUUCCUUGAUGAAUUUCACCUUUAAAGGAGCUUGCUGCAUGAGAGAGGCUGUCUUGCCUUUAAAUUCAUUCUUCAAGUUCGUCCCGGAGGGCAUCGUUUUUCCUGCCUUGAGGAAGCAACAACAAAUAACCCAGGAAAAACACUGCAUAAACAUGGCAUCCAAAGAGAGGAAGCAGAGACAUGAUGCACCAACUACUACUUUAGUAAUUGAAGAGAGAGAGAAGAGCCUGAAGUCAUUCAAUAAUUAGAUCAAAUAAUUUACUAAUGGAUCAUUUGUCUUCCCUUCCAAUCUUCCUUAGCAAGUUGGCUAAUUGCUCCAUGGUCACAAGAUAGCUGCUGAAUCUCUAGAAAUCAUUCCCAAGUCCCAUUCAGGAAGAAAAUAAAAGGGUGCAUUGGCUUUUUCUGUUUCCCUCUUCUCAGAACUCUCUCAGCAGACUUUCACUUACGUGUUAUAUAGUCCAGAACUGGAUGGCAUGGCUCCCCACCGUGUGCAAGGGAGAUUCAACAGGAUUUGGUUUUUCAGCCUCUGUUGGGAGAGACCAAGAGACAGAAGGAGACUGGGUAACACUGUCCACCGUAACCACUUAGUAUAGUGAUAACUCUGGGCAAAUAUUAAUUACUACUGGGCUAGUUGAAAGUUUCUGGGAAGCAAAUCAGUUGCUAAGCACAUGCUCUAUGAGAACCCAUAAUAUAAAUAAGAAGAAGAAAAAAGAAGGUUUAAAUGUUGGCUUACUUAGAGGAAUGCCUAGUUUCUUCUCUAUCACUGUGGUAACCACUAGGUUACAACUGUUACCUUUUCUCACAGAAAGACAAUUCCAAAACAGACCUCAAAUGAAAAUGCUACACAAAUAAUGGAUUAAUUGGGUACCAUUUCUACUCUUCUCAUCAUGUUUUACAAGCAGUUGAAAUAAUAUGUGCCCUUCCCAGUCCCUUUUUAGUAUUUGUCAGUAGAAUAGAGUGUCAAAAACGACUUACGAUGCCUAAAACAUUUAGAAAUUAAAAUAGCAUGUGGUGGUGCCAUGACCUUUUCAAUAUGCUGGUGUUUCAAUUGUUCAGCCAUUCCUCUUGUUCUUUUUCCUGACUGUUCUUUAUCAGAGGAAAAGGUAAAUUGGCACCUCAAGUAUGGAGUACUCAAAGGAACUAAACAGCACAUUAUUGAAACAAUUCAGAGGCAAUCCCGCAUAGCUUCCAAGUGCCAUGGAAACAAAAGAUGGUAACUUUAUUAAUUGUGAAAGGUUGGGGGAACGAAUUUAGUAUCUUGCUUUGCCAGUUUUCCUCUAGUGCACAGUAUAGUUUCCAGGACCUGCAUACAAACAUCAGUUCAUGAUCAAAAUGUGACCUUGCCUGUCCCGAUGAAUAAAACUAAUAAAUUCCCCAAUGAUAUGCUUAUUAUGCUUCUCUGAGGGAAGAUGGUUGCUUUCGUGUCAUUGUGGUUCCAUAAUAUCUCUUGGAAGGAGGCUUCUGAGGAUGCCCAAGCUGCUCCUCUGGGUUUCCCUAACACCCUGCAUGCGCUCAUCGUGUAGAAAUUGCCACAUAGCGUUACAGGUUUCUGUUCACUUAUUUCGUCUGCCCAGUGGGAAUGUGAUUUCCUGAAGAGCACCUAGCACAUGCCUAAAACACAAAAGGACUUCACUAAACAUUUGCUGAAUAACUACCACCUGUGCCAAGAAGCAGACCGGCUUCCGCUACAACUGACAGCCCUUCUCUCCUGCUAGUCAGAGAUUCUCUGUCUUGGAAGAGACUUUAGGAAACAGCAGACAUCUUGGAUGUGUGCCUGCCUGCAUUACCACCUUCUCCAGUUUUAUCCUAAAGCUGACUUCAGUACAGCUCUCCCCAAACUGUGGAAACUUUGGAUGACUACCUAAGAACUCCACAAACUCAAGCAGCUUUAAAGCCACUCUGCAACUUUCCUACAAUGAAAGAGGAGGCAGGUACCAUUCUCAGAUAAUACCGAUGAAUUCAGAAACCAAAAUAAAUCUGAAAAAAUGUAGUGCUUCACACUUACAUUUAUACCCUUCUCCCUUCUUGCUUUAUUCCCCAGAAGUGAGUAGCUCCUGAAACUGAUAGCCAAGAGAUGUUCAGGAAGAACCUGUCCCCAAACAGGUGUUUGCACACCCAAGUUAUGUAGGUGUCGGAGUAGAG
rnacentral:lncRNA from 10 species